rnacentral:tRNA from 1 species
GCUGGCGUAGCUCAGUUGGUAGAGCAUCUGCCUUGUAAGCAGAGGGUCCUCGGUUCGAGUCCGGGCGCCAGCA